rnacentral:tRNA from 1 species
GACAGGAGUCGAACCUGAGUCUGGGGGAUCAAAACCCCCCGUAAUCCCAUUUCACUACUCUCUA